rnacentral:rRNA from 1 species
UACGUAGGGUGCAAGCGUUAAUCGGAAUUACUGGGCGUAAAGCGUGCGCAGGCGGUUCUAUAAGACAGAUGUGAAAGCCCCGGGCUCAACCUGGGAAUUGCGAUGGAGACUGCAAGGCUUGAAUCUGGCAGAGGGGGGUAGAAUUCCACGUGUAGCAGUGAAAUGCGUAGAGAUGUGGAGGAACACCGAUGGCGAAGGCAGCCCCCUGGGUCAAGAUUGACGCUCAUGCACGAAAGCGUGGGGAGCAAACAGG